rnacentral:ribozyme from 1 species
UGCUACUUCUGCUCCUGCUUCGACUUUGACGCCGAUUUCUCGUUCUUCUGAUAAGAAGAAGUAAUAAUAUUAUUUCUUUCGUUUGAAGAAAGAGAGGGAGUUAUUAUUGUUAGAGGUGUUGUUGUUGAUUUAGGAAGAGAGAGGAGUUUUUAUUUUGUUGUUGUUUUGUUGUUGUUGUUGCUGUUGUUG